AUGCCUGAAGAAACAGUUCAUGAAGUGAACGUGUCUGUGCCUGACCCUCCAACUCCUCAAGUGGAGGUUGAAAAUCCUGAAGCUGCCACUACCAACGCAAGUGAAGCCGAUGACAUUGUCAUGGCUGACGCUAAUGUGGAGCUUGAACCAACCAGUGUGCCUGAAGCUAAUGAGGCCACUGCACCUAAAGCUAAUGAGGCACCUGCUCCUGAAGCACCUGUUGUGCAGCCUGAAGCCUCAGCUGCUGCCACUGCUCCUGUUCCGCCACCAAGGCCCUAUACAAUCGAGCAAGCAUACAACCAUGGCGAGCUAAUCACAGUAAGAUGGCCCGUUCUGGUCCCUCCGCCUAUUGUCUCUGGUCCUCAAUUUGACUAUCACAUUGAGCAUAGGCCUCAGGUCCAGAAGCCCAAGCCAAGACUGCCAAGGUUUCCUGGUACUGCCACAUCUGUCGGGUCCUUCAAUGCAAAUGGCUUCAAGAGCCACAACACAUUCUUUGACAGCUCAAAGAACCCCUACACGAAGCCAAGAAUAUCAUCAGAUUGGUUCUGGAGUCAUCAGCAGCGAAGCUAUUACUCCUGUGUUCUGUAUGAUCAAGGGCGCAUCUUCCCUCAUAUGCGCCUAGACACUGAAGCCAUUGCUGGACUGCCGUGCUUAGAAGAAGCACUUGAUUGCUUUCGUGAUGCUGGUCUGCUCAACUUUGUGACAGACAAAGAACACUGGAAUGAAGAGCUAUUGCUUCAAUUCUAUGCUACACUCCACAUUUGCGGUUACAACAGAGAUACGAAGACAUGGGUUCUCAAGUGGAUGACCGGAAAUGUUCAUCAUGAAGCCAAAGCUCUUGACAUCAUUGAGCUUACAGGCCUAUCCACUCCCGGAGAGCUCUAUGAACCUGGUUGUCAAAACCACCGCAAUGCACUGGAGUGCAUCUUCCAUAAGCCUGAACCCAAUAUGAGCCAGAUGCUGAGCAUGAUGAAGCCUUUGCCACGUGAUGCUGAAUAUCCAAAGGAGUUCUUUGUUGAUGACCUUGAGUAUCUAUCGCGCACCAUAUAUCACAUCAUCAGGCGGACUCUAUGGCCUAUCAAAGGAGAUUCAUCAGCUGCAAAACUCGAAGGAGCCAUGAAGACAUUGGUCUUUUAA
rnacentral:rRNA from 1 species